UACAGAGGUCUCAAGCGUUGUUUGGAUUCAUUGGGCGUAAAGGGUGCGUAGGCGGCGCGGUAAGUCGGGUGUGAAAUCUCGGGGCUUAACUCCGAAACUGCAUUCGAUACUGCCGUGCUUGAGGACUGGAGAGGAGACUGGAAUUUACGGUGUAGCGGUGAAAUGCGUAGAUAUCGUAAGGAAGACCAGUGGCGAAGGCGGGUCUCUGGACAGUUCCUGACGCUGAGGCACGAAGGUCAGGGGGAGCAAACGGG
rnacentral:rRNA from 1 species